rnacentral:rRNA from 1 species
UUCGCUACGGGACGUCGGUAGGGAGAGAAGCUUGCUUCUCUUAGAGAGCGGCGGACGGGUGAGCCAAUUGCCUAGGAAUCUGCCUGGUAGUGGGGGAUAACGUUCGGAAACGGACGCUAAUACCGCAUACGUCCUACGGGAGAAAGCAGGGGACCUUCGGGCCUUGCGCUAUCAGAUGAGCCUAGGUCGGAUUAGCUAGUUGGUGAGGUAAUGGCUCACCAAGGCGACGAUCCGUAACUGGUCUGAGAGGAUGAUCAGUCACACUGGAACUGAGACACGGUCCAGACUCCUACGGGAGGCAGCAGUGGGGAAUAUUGGACAAUGGGCGAAAGCCUGAUCCAGCCAUGCCGCGUGUGUGAAGAAGGUCUUCGGAUUGUAAAGCACUUUAAGUUGGGAGGAAGGGUUGUAGAUUAAUACUCUGCAAUUUUGACGUUACCGACAGAAUAAGCACCGGCUAACUCUGUGCCAGCAGCCGCGGUAAUACAGAGGGUGCAAGCGUUAAUCGGAAUUACUGGGCGUAAAGCGCGCGUAGGUGGUUUGUUAAGUUGGAUGUGAAAUCCCCGGGCUCAACCUGGGAACUGCAUUCAAAACUGACUGACUAGAGUAUGGUAGAGGGUGGUGGAAUUUCCUGUGUAGCGGCGAAAUGCGUAGAUAUAUGAAGGAACACCAGUGGCGAAGGCGACCACCUGGACUAAUACUCCCACUGAUGUGCGAAAGCGGGGGGGGCAAACAGGAGUAGAUACCCUGGUAGGCCACGCCGUACAUUAUGUUAACUACCCUUUUGGAAGGCGUGAAUUUUUU